UGCGCUAUCAGAUGAGCCUAGGUCGGAUUAGCUAGUUGGUGAGGUAAUGGCUCACCAAGGCUACGAUCCGUAACUGGUCUGAGAGGAUGAUCAGUCACACUGGAACUGAGACACGGUCCAGACUCCUACGGGAGGCAGCAGUGGGGAAUAUUGGACAAUGGGCGAAAGCCUGAUCCAGCACAGGCCGCGUGUGUGAAGAAGGUCUUCGGAUUGUAAAGCAAUUGAGUGGGAGGAAGGGCAUUACCUAAUACGUUA
rnacentral:rRNA from 1 species